AUUGAACGCUGGCGGCAUGCCUUACACAUGCAAGUCGAACGGCAGCACGGGAGCUUGCUCCUGGUGGCGAGUGGCGAACGGGUGAGUAAUGCAUCGGAACGUGCCCUGAAGUGGGGGAUAACGUAGCGAAAGUUACGCUAAUACCGCAUAUUCUGUGAGCAGGAAAGCAGGGGAUCUUCGGACCUUGCGCUUUUGGAGCGGCCGAUGUCGGAUUAGCUAGUUGGUGGGGUAAAGGCCCACCAAGGCGACGAUCCGUAGCGGGUCUGAGAGGAUGAUCCGCCACACUGGAACUGAGACACGGUCCAGACUCCUACGGGAGGCAGCAGUGGGGAAUUUUGGACAAUGGGCGCAAGCCUGAUCCAGCCAUGCCGCGUGAGUGAAGAAGGCCUUCGGGUUGUAAACUCCUUUACGGGGAAGAGGAAGGACGGUACCCGAGAAUAAGUCACGGCUAACUAACGUGCCAGCAG
rnacentral:rRNA from 1 species